rnacentral:rRNA from 1 species
GAUGAACGCUAGCUACAGGCUUAACACAUGCAAGUCGAGGGGCAGCAUUUUAGUUUGCUUGCAAACUGAAGAUGGCGACCGGCGCACGGGUGAGUAACACGUAUCCAACCUGCCGAUAACUCCGGAAUAGCCUUUCGAAAGAAAGAUUAAUACCGGAUGGCAUACGAAUAUCGCAUGAUAUUUUUAUUAAAGAAUUUCGGUUAUCGAUGGGGAUGCGUUCCAUUAGUUUGUUGGCGGGGUAACGGCCCACCAAGACUACGAUGGAUAGGGGUUCUGAGAGGAAGGUCCCCCCACAUUGGAACUGAGACACGGUCCAAACUCCUACGGGAGGCAGCAGUGAGGAAUAUUGGUCAAUGGGCGCGAGCCUGAACCAGCCAAGUAGCGUGAAGGAUGAAGGCUCUAUGGGUCGUAAACUUCUUUUAUAUGGGAAUAAAGUUUUCCACGUGUGGAAUUUUGUAUGUACCAUAUGAAUAAGGAUCGGCUAACUCCGUGCCAGCAGCCGCGGU